CGUCGACUGAUCGGCGGGAGAGAAGCUUUGGACACGACAUUUCCAGAACGCAAGCGCGUUUGGUUUUGUUUUUGCGAACUUCAACCAACGAACUUUCUGUGUUUCAUGAAUGAGGGAAGUAGAUUCGAAGGGGAAACUUUCGUCGAUAAUAAUAAGGGAGCGUUCACGUUUUUUUUUNUUUUUUUUUGUCUUUUACAGGUUCGUUGUAGAGGAGAUCGAUCGAAGUUAUAGUACAGAGAAAUCAUUCGGACAAUAAGCAAAUGUUUGUGCCAAGUUUUCUUAAAUCUUCUAAUAAUGGUUGAAGUCUUGAACUUUCUAAUAAUGUGAGGAAUAAAUAUUUUUUGUGGAGCCGUGUGCCUGUUUUGAUUCAAAGAAUCUAACAUUAGAUUAAUUCAAGAAUAAGCGUUGCACAUUAUCCAGGAAGUUAAAUAAACUACGUAGACUUCGGUUGGUAAAUGAGUAUGUCUGUAAUACGAGAUAUCUGUAACAAACAAUUUUUCGCAAUGAUAAAACAAUUGCAGUGAUUGUAGCGAUUAUAUCAAAAAGAUGUAUGAUCCGUUACCAGUCUCUGUAAGUUUUGGUGGAUACUGGGAUACGGAGAUCAACAGAAUAAGAUCGUAAGCGUUUUUAGCUGGCAAGUUAUACCACCCGAUCUUGUAG